rnacentral:lncRNA from 1 species
AAAACUUUCAAUUGCCUGAUACAUCUCUACCACAGCCAUACCACAUGGUUGCUUGAAACUUUGACAUUUGUUACUGUUUUCUUCUCUCCUCUUAUUCAGCUAAAUUCUAAUACCACCAAAUGAAGGACUCAGACUCUAAUUUUUCCAACAUCACCAUGGAAAAACCAUCGCUGUCAUCAACAUUUGAGUUGUCAGACAUUUGGCAUGAUGUAGAUCACUGGGAAAAAACAUGUGUUUAAAAUAAGCAUGUUCUGAUCCCACGAGGCUUAUUACUUGCAAUAAAAUCAUUUUGACAGCAGUAACACAAACAUGUCACCCCUACUGAAGCAGAAGUCUUUAGUCUUAUUUCUGCAAAAAACAAAUCCCAGGCAUAAUUUUUUACAGAUAAAAAUACAAUCAUUUGGACAUGGUUUAUAUUUUAAUAAGCCAAAUAUAAUCUCUUGUAGAAGAGAAGCAAAUACGAAAGAACAUUUCCGAUCCUGAACAAUGAAAGAGGAAAAAGGAAAAUUAUUUUUCAAAGAGGAGGAAGAUAGUAAAUAUUCACAGCAUCCCUCUUUUUUAGCCCUCAAUGAACAAUUAUAUUAUAUUUCCUCUGCUAUUUGUUUAGCCACCAUUAACUAACAUAGCAAUUCAGAAGUUGGAUCUUAUUUUUUUAGAAGCCAUGGGGUAACUAAAAACAAAAAAGGUAUUAAAGAAGGAAAAAAGCUUAAGCAUUACUGAUAAAUGAAAGUUACUCUAUUCCAGAGCCACAAAUAAAUAAAAAUAAAUGCAUGCUAGUGGGGGUGGGAGGAGAAUUAGUCACAUUUAGUAACACAACUUUUUAUAAAGUUAAUUGAUUAUGAUAUAUAUUGCUUUAUGGUUAGUGGAUUGUUUCAAAAAUGCAUGAUGGCCAUUAAGUUCAUUGCUAAAAUUAUUUGUGUACAGAACACUAAAGUACCGUAUCCAUCUUUUACUGCAGAUGACUUGUUUUCCCACUGAAAUGGUCAGUUUGGUGCUGCUAGACCAUAUCUAUAGGUUAUUUGUUUUAUUAUUGCAAUGGUCCCCUUUAUUUGUCUACCAAUCUGACAACUUAAGGCAAUCAUCCCCAUGAAAUUUGAGCAUCCUAGUUUGUCGUGGUCCAGCCAGCAGCAGGAGUUUUAGAGGGCCUGGGUCUGGGGACAAGUUCCUUGCUUUGGCGAAAGCAGAAUGGUUGAGGAGGUCACCCUGUCAGCUCCAAAACAGCUGAGUCCCUUUUUUUAAAUCUAUGUUUCAGUGCCCCCUGUAAUCAUCGCUAACAGGCAAGGCUAAUGUUGCUGGUUCCAGCAGUCUAAUCUCAAAAGAUUAAGGAAACUUAAAUAUCCUUAAGAUAUUCUUGAAAAUCAGGGACCAAAAAUCUGAGUUUCUACUAAGGAAUUCAGAUGAGGAAAACAUGCCACAGAUGUUCGCAUCCACCCUUGACACUAGCAAGAGUCUUACAGGUAAGAGGCCCCUCCCUCCUCAUCCACCAAGGGGAUCCUUUUGAACUUCCCAAGUUAUAUCCAGACCACAGGAAGCAACUGAAUAAAGGUCAAGCACUUCACAAUCACAUGUAAUUGAUCCCUGGACCUGUUAAAGAUGGGUUGCCAGAGCCCAGCAUUUAGCCUGGGAAGGAUUUGUCAUUGAAUGUACUUUUAUCAGUUCUAGUUUGACUUAAAUAGCAUUGCAUAUAAAGGAGAACAAAGGAUCUUGGGUCAUAGUCAGGAACAAUAAAAUAACUGUACUCUGUUAAAAUAAAUAAAUAAAUAAAUAAAUAAAAGAAGAAUAACCUGAGUUGUUCCCUAUCAACAAAACACACCAACCUUUUAUUGAAAAUACACUCAACAAUUGUUCUAUGAAUGAAUGAAUGAAUACAGGAAAACCUGAUUGUGCAGAUCUUUCUUC